rnacentral:rRNA from 1 species
UACGGGGGGAGCAAGCGUUGUUCGGAUUUACUGGGCGUAAAGGGCGCGUAGGCGGCCAGCACAAGUCAGUUGUGAAAUCUCCGGGCUUAACUCGGAAAGGUCAACUGAUACUGUGCGGCUAGAGUGCAGAAGGGGCAACUGGAAUUCUCGGUGUAGCGGUGAAAUGCGUAGAUAUCGAGAGGAACACCUGCGGCGAAGGCGGGUUGCUGGGCUGACACUGACGCUGAGGCGCGAAAGCAUGGGGAGCGAACAGG